AUACUGUAUAGGAGUGCUGCUAUCAAUACUGGAGGGAAUCAGAGAUUGUUCAAUUUGGAGAAUAUUUUGUAAAAUGUUUAUUAAGCAAAGACUGCAAUGGAUAUAUUGAGAGAAAGUUGCACAUCAGAUCAGACAAAAACGAUAGUUCUUCAUGGGAUGUGGUGCAGUUUCAAGUGACUAACUGGCCUACAGAUGGUGUCAUUAGGGAACCACGUACUGUCCUACAAGUUAUUGAUGAUGUUAUACACAGACAACAAAAGAUUGGAGGAGGACCAGUAGUGGUACAUUGUAGUGAUACAGUGAGUCGUUCAGGAGUCUAUUGUUCAGUGAGUGUUGCUCUAGAACAGUGUAAGGCAGAAGGUGUAGUGGAUGUAUUUCAAGUAACUAAAUCUGUCAGGAGAAGCAAACCAGGAGCUGUCACUACACUGGAUCAAUACAGUUCAAUAUAUGAAGCGAUUUCAAUGUACUUGAAGUUACACAGUACUUACGCUAACUUUACAUAAUUUAAUAUACUCAAUGAUUAACUUGUUGUAUUGUAGUGUGGACUGAUAAGUAGACAUAGCUUUAGCUUUUAUGUAGUAACUUCUUUAUUUUUGUAAAUAGUGUAUUUGAUUCACUAAAUAUGAUAAUUAAUAAAUUUGAAUUUAA